CAUGCCCUAAACGAUCUUCACUAGCUUUUCGGAGUAUCGACCCUCUGAGAGGCGAAGCUAACGCGUUAAGUGAAGCGCCUGGGAAGUACGGCCGCAAGGCUAAAACUCAAAGGAAUAGACGGGGACUCGCACAAGCGGUGGAUUAUGUGGUUUAAUUCGUAGGUAAACGAAGAACCUUACCCAGAUUUGAAACCCAACUGAAAGCCUUUAGAAACAUUGGCCCUCGCAAGACAGUUGGGCAGGUGA
rnacentral:rRNA from 1 species